rnacentral:rRNA from 1 species
UAGAUACCUGGUAGUCCACGCCGUAAACGAUGAGUACUAGGUGUCGGGUGAAGAACUCGGUGCCGAAGUUAACACAUUAAGUACUCCGCCUGGGGAGUACGCUCGCAAGAGUAAAACUCAAAGGAAUUGACGGGGACCCGCACAAGCAGCGGAGCAUGUGGUUUAAUUCGAAGCAACGCGAAGAACCUUACCUAAACUUGACAUACCAAUGACAGCCUUUUAAUCGAGGACUUUUACCUUCGGGUAGACA